rfam:Danio rerio chromosome 12, GRCz11 reference primary assembly.
UUUGAAGCAGCUAGCUCUCUGCAAUUCUCACAAUGUCGCCCACUGACGCCAAGCAGGUCUGCGCCUGGUCAGUACCUGGAUGGGAGACCACAUGGGAAAGCUAGGUUGGUGUCGGAA